rnacentral:lncRNA from 1 species
AUGAGUUGGGGUCAGCUGAGCGCUGUCAGCAUAGAGCCUCACAAAUCCUCAGGAGAACCCCUGGAAGAAGUCACUUCAUCUCCAUUUUACAGGUGUAGGAAAAGAAGUCUGGAAAGAUCAUCCAAAAUGCCCAACUUGUUGAAUGGGGUUCAGACCUGUCCUAGGCAGGAGACCUCUGGGCCCGGGAGGACAUCAUCAUCUGACCUUCAUUUGGUGACCUGUGGAGUGUGCGGGACACCCUCAGAGCCAGCUCUCAGGCACUGUGGAGCUGGAGCUCCUAGUGGCUGCAAAUCUCAGCCCCAAAGGGGCCCAGGCCAGGAGUAGGCAGGGGA